CCUUCUUUUUCUCUCUUUUUUCUUAAUUACUGGGCGUGAAGGGCACGUAGGCUGGCUGUUAAGUCGGUGGUGAAAUGCUGAGGCUCAACCUCAGAAUUGCCUUCGAUACUGACGGUCUUGAGUGCGGGAGAGGUGAGUGGAAUUCCCAGUGUAGAGGUGAAAUUUGUAGAUAUUGGGAAGAACACCAGUGGCGAAGGCGGCUCACUGGCCCGCAACUGACGCUGAGGUGCGAAAGCGUGGGGAGCAAACAGGA
rnacentral:rRNA from 1 species